rnacentral:rRNA from 1 species
AGUGAACGCUGGCGGCGUGCCUAAUACAUGCAAGUCGAGCGAGCGGCGGACGGGUGAGUAAUGUAUGGGGAUCUGCCCGAUAGAGGGGGAUAACUACUGGAAACGGUGGCUAAUACCGCAUACUACCAGAUGGACCUGCGUUUUAUUAGCUGGUUGGUGGGGUAAAGGCCUACCAAGGCGACGAUCAGUAGCGGGUCUGAGAGGAUGAUCCGCCACACUGGGACUGAGACACGGCCCAGACUCCUACGGGAGGCAGCAGUGGGGAAUUUUGGACAAUGGGCGCAAGCCUGAUCCAGCCAUGCCGCGUGUCUGAAGAAGGCCUUCGGGUUGUAAAGGACUUUUGUCAGGGAAGCGGUACCUGAAGAAUAAGCACCGGCUAACUACGUGCCAGCAGCCGCGGUAAUAC